rnacentral:lncRNA from 1 species
UCCUCUAUCCUCUAUCUGACAAAAUGAAAAUAUUCUCUUAAUUUAUCUAAGGUUCAUACUGAUUUUUCUUUUUCAUAUUGAAUUGUUCCUGAAGAGUGAACAAUUGAUGCCAUAUAAAGUUGUUAUACAUAUUUUAUAAAUCAAAAUUGUAAUUUUCUAUUGCUUUAGGUUUUGUCUUGUUGUUAAUCAGUAAAUUUCGACUAGAGCAAAAGAAGGAGUAAGAGUGAGAGUUUUGACAGGCAAGAUGGGCCAAACGACAUAGGCCAGGUUGAAAGGAUGUUGAAGGGGAAUGAGGCAGUCGAAGUUGAAGCCAAACAAGCAAAAAAGAGAUAAUCAGUUGAGAAAAAUGUGGGGGAAGUUUCAAAAGACGUGGGGCUGCAGGUUUAGACGCGUGGCAUAUUGUAGAUGGUCGUCGACAAUGUAGCAGUUAUUUCUCAUUACUAUUUAAGUAGAUUUGAUUUCAAGUUUUAAGGGUCGCAUUUGUAACAUUGUAGAGGUAAAACACUCAAAGUAUCGAGCGUUUAGAGAAAAGAGUUCAUUCCUACAAAAAUGUAUGCUUGCGUUCACAUUUUAAGCACUUUAAAUGACCAAGUCUUUUUAUUUG